rnacentral:rRNA from 1 species
AGGAAUAUUGGUCAAUGGUCGAGAGACUGAACCAGCCAUGCCGCGUGCAGGAUGAAGGCGCUAUGCGUUGUAAACUGCUUUUCUAUAGGAAGAAACCUAUCCUCGUGAGGAUAGCCGACGGUACUAUAGGAAU